rnacentral:rRNA from 1 species
AUUGAACGCUGGCGGCAGGCCUAACACAUGCAAGUCGAGCGGAUGAAGGGAGCUUGCUCCUGGAUUCAGCGGCGGACGGGUGAGUAAUGCCUAGGAAUCUGCCUGGUAGUGGGGGAUAACGUCCGGAAACGGGCGCUAAUACCGCAUACGUCCUGAGUGAGAAAGUGGGGGAUCUUCGGACCUCACGCUAUCAGAUGAGCCUAGGUCGGAUUAGCUAGUUGGUGGGGUAAAGGCCUACCAAGGCGACGAUCCGUAACUGGUCUGAGAGGAUGAUCAGUCACACUGGAACUGAGACACGGUCCAGACUCCUACGGGAGGCAGCAGUGGGGAAUAUUGGACAAUGGGCGAAAGCCUGAUCCAGCCAUGCCGCGUGUGUGAAGAAGGUCUUCGGAUUGUAAAGCACUUUAAGUUGGGAGGAAGGGCAGUAAGUUAAUACCUUGCUGUUUUGACGGUACCAACAGAAUAAGCACCGGCUAACUUCGUG